rnacentral:rRNA from 1 species
UACGAGGGGGGCGAGCGUUGUUCGGAAUUAUUGGGCGUAAAGGGUGCGUAGGCGGUUCCGCAAGUCCUGUGUGAAAUCUUCGGGCUCAACUCGAAGUCUGCACGGGAAACUGCGGGGCUUGAGUGUGGGAGAGGUGAGUGGAAUUCCCGGUGUAGCGGUGAAAUGCGUAGAUAUCGGGAGGAACAUCUGUGGCGAAGGCGGCCAUCUGGACCAGCACUGACACUGAGGCACGAAAGCGUGGGGAGCAAACAGGG